CCUACGGGUGGCAGCAGUCGAGAAUCAUUCACAAUGGGGGAAACCCUGAUGGUGCGACGCCGCGUGGGGGAAUGAAGGUCUUCGGAUUGUAAACCCCUGUCAUGUGGGAGCAAAUUAAAAAGAUAGUACCACAAGAGGAAGAGACGGCUAACUCUGUGCCAGCAGCCGCGGUAAUACAGAGGUCUCAAGCGUUGUUCGGAAUCACUGGGCGUAAAGCGUGCGUAGGCUGUUUCGUAAGUCGUGUGUGAAAGGCGCGGGCUCAACCCGCGGACGGCACAUGAUACUGGGAGACUAGAGUAAGGGAGGGGGAACCGGAAUUCUCGGUGUAGGAGUGAAAUGCGUAGAUAUCGAGAGGAACACUCGUGGCGAAGGCGGGUUCCUGGACAUUAACUGACGCUGAGGCACGAAGGCCAGGGGAGCGAAAGGGAUUAGAUACCCUUGUAGUC
rnacentral:rRNA from 1 species